UACGGAAGGUGCAAGCAUUAAUCGGAAUUAUUGGGCGUAAAGGGCGCGUAGGCGGCAUUGAAAGUCUUGCGUGAAAAUCCGAAGCUCAACUUCGGAACUGCGUAAGAAACUCCAAAGCUAGAGGGGAGUCGGAGAAAAUAGAAUUCCACGUGUAGCGGUGAAAUGCGUAGAUAUGUGGAAGAAUACCAGUGGCGAAAGCGGUUUUCUAGAUUUUACCUGACGCUGAGGCGCGGGAGCAAGGGGAGCAAACAGG
rnacentral:rRNA from 1 species